rnacentral:rRNA from 1 species
AUUGAACGCUGGCGGCAUGCUUUACACAUGCAAGUCGAACGGUAACAGGCCUUCGGGCGCUGACGAGUGGCGAACGGGUGAGUAAUGCAUCGGAACGUGCCCAGUCGUGGGGGAUAACGCAGCGAAAGCUGUGCUAAUACCGCAUACGAUCUGCGGAUGAAAGCGGGGGACCUUCGGGCCUCGCGCGAUUGGAGCGGCCGAUGUCAGAUUAGGUAGUUGGUGGGGUAAAGGCUCACCAAGCCAACGAUCUGUAGCUGGUCUGAGAGGACGACCAGCCACACUGGGACGAAGACACGGCCCAGACUCCUACGGGAGGCAGCAGUGGGGAAUUUUGGACAAUGGGCGCAAGCCUGAUCCAGCAAUGCCGCGUGCAGGAAGAAGGCCUUCGGGUUGUAAACUGCUUUUGUACGGAGCGAAAGGCUCCCUCUAAUACAGGGGGCUCAUGACGGUACCGUAAGAAUAAGCACCGGCUAACUACGUGCCAGCCGCUGCCGUAAUAC